AUUGAACGCUGGCGGCAUGCCUAACACAUGCAAGUCGAACGGAGAUAGGGGCAACCUUAUUUCAGUGGCGGACGGGUGAGGAAUGCGUCGGAAUCUGCCCUAUGGUGGGGGAGUAACACAGGGAAACGUUAGUGCUAAUACCGCAUAAUGUCGAGAGACCAAAGACAGGGGACCGGCAAGGCCUUGCGCGAUAGGAUAAGCCGACGCCCGACUUAGCUUGUUGGUAGGGUAAGUGGCCUACCAAGGCGACGAUCGGUAGCUGGUCUGAGAGGAUGAUCAGCCACACUGGGACGUGAGACACGGCCCACGACUCCUA
rnacentral:rRNA from 1 species